GUAAAUGUAAUUUAAUUAAAAUAACAGAUUGUGAAUCUGACAAUAGGAAACUCCAACUCCUCAUUUACC
rnacentral:tRNA from 1 species